GCUGUGGAACCCUCUCCGGCCAACACCUGAGUGCCCGUGUCCCCCUCCCCGCAGGGCUGAGCUUCCCUGCACGCCCCAGCCGACUACAAGGGGCAACAAUAAAGCCGAUGUCCAUCAUGCCGCCUUUUCAUUUCGGAAAGGGCAGAUCCUGACCUCGGUUCCUCAAGUGGAAGCUUGUCUUGGGCACUCACUGUUGUCACCAUUUGCUCCAACAUUUAAACAGAUGUAUAUUCAUACAUAUUUCCCCCCUAUUUGCCAUCCAGGCUUUUUUUAUUUCUUCCAUUUUCCCCCUCAGUCGAAGGGGAAGCUCCCCGGUAAUUGCAGGGGCAGGAGAGCGGCGUUCAGGGGGACAGUGGCACCCGGGCACACACCUGAGCCACACGCCCACGCCUUCGCGUGGGAACCCGCUCCCACCAUUCAGCUCCCAAGAAAACUGUUGAUCCCUAAGUGUGAGCCCGAACCUUUGCAUUUAGUGCUCACGGCUGCUUCGUUUCCUCCCUCCCCCAGCCCUUUCCCCCCGGCUCCGUGCCCGUGUUGGGGUAUCCAGGGGUAUCCAGGUCCCCCCGGUGGGCCGGGGCAGGUGCAGGGCGCGGGCGGCUGCGCCAGGACGGGAUCGCUGCGGGGGCACAGGAGAGGGACGUGCACUCCCUUCUCAGCCAAUUGGACAAGAAUGGGCUCUGUUAUUAUUGUUGUUGCUUUUUCUGUUAGUAAUAUUAUUGUUAUUGUUGUUGUUGUUGUUACUAUUAUAUUAAUUUAAAAACUAUCCCGUUGCAACUUGCAAAGAGCCUGUAAAUUUACCUUAAACCUUCUUUUUUUUUCCUAGCCAAUGGUGUCAGGGGCCGGCUAGCCUGUCCCUCCAGAGCAUUAACCCUUGUCGCUAGCUGGAGUGAGUGAGAAGCUGAGGUUUGGCCCUGAGGAGCCGUGUGUGUAGAUCUGGCACAGCUUUGCUCCCUUAACUCCUGGAUCUUUGUUUUGGUGGCGACCAGGGAGAGCAGGGAGCGCUGUGCUCGCAUUUCCCUCUGGCUUUUACACACGCACACACACGCACACACACAAAUCCCCUUUUCCAACUUUCUGCUUUUUGCGCUUCCCUUCCAGUUUUUUCACUUCUCAGACCUACUGGCAGCAUUUGCCGAGAUCUAGAUCCCCGUCGUGAUUUGAUUCAUAGAAAAAUGUGAGUGCUGGGUGCUACUGAUUUGGGUCAUCUGCAUGCAAUUCAAAAGCAAAAGGGACCUUGGAGUUUCUGGCAGAUAUUCCUCAGGCUGGAAUCCAGACAGCUUGUCUGAGCACGGAGAAACUACUCGCCUUCAGUCCUCAAAAUAUUAGCAAAAGACACUGUGUUUGCUGCUCCUUGGAUAAAAGCAUCCCUAAUGGUGAGUGUGGUCUGAAAAUAGCUUGAUGGACCUGCUUCAAAGGAGGUUCACACUUGUGGGUUUGAUGUGUCCACAGCAGCCCAGCCCCUGCAGGGAAGGGGUCCUGGGCUGUGUCUGUGCCCCAUGAGGGUGGCACUGGGCUGGGGCAGAGUGCAACAGGGGCAAAGGGAGAGUGAAGGCAGAUUUGGGAUGCAGGGUGGGAACAGGGAGGUCAGAGGAGCCAGUGAGGCUUGAGGAGGGAGGAGAGACCUCACAGCCUCCCUCACUCCAUUCCCUCCAUCGUGGGGCUGUCCCAGCUCUGCGCUGCAGCCCCUGCAGGUGCUCUGUGCACCUUGGGCAGGGAGCAUGAGGGCAGCCAGGCUGUGGCAUUCAGGGGACAUUUCUGCUCUGUCUGCCCCUCAGUGGGCUGCAGGUCUCCCCCUUCCCUUGGCCUGGCAGGAGCAGGAAGAGCACAGGGCUGCAUCCACAGGAACGGGCUUGUCAGGGUCAAGGAUCCAGUUCCACUCUCCUCUGUCCAAAGCAGAGCAGAUUGUAACCAUUACCUACUUUGUCUAUGCCCUGAGCAUGCUCUGGAUUCAGUACAAAGACCAUAAGCAUUCAUUAACUUCCCUGUACAGCCUCCAUGAAAAGAUUCCCAGCACCUGGAGUAAGCCUAUAAUGUUGGCUAUGGCAUACAGAGAAGUUGCUAUCUCUCCACUGCCUGUAUACAUUUAUUGUUCAAGUUAGUUUUUGUAACAAAAAUGGCAUUAAAGAAAUUAAAUAUCUAGGUUUUCAAGUCACAGAUAUAUUUUUAUCCUUAAACGUGCAGGAAAAAAAAAAAAUUGAAUGAGGGAGACUUCUAUUCUCAUUUGCAGGAUCUCCAGCCUUUUCAUUGUUUAAUUCACGUGCAUGCAAAUGUAGGGAUUAUGCAAGCCUCGGCAGGGCGUGCUCUGGAAGUUGCAUCCACUGCUGAACAAUUUAAGGAGCUAGGUUUCAUGGAGUUUGGCAAUCCCUUCCAGAAGUGCUGAAUCUAGGCCAGGAUUUAGGCUAGACUUGCACGGAGCUAUUAGAAAGCAUAGGUUGUGUGCAGUUAGCCUGGGAGCUGCAGAGCACAGCUACAGUCCUGCUUCUGUCCAGUGGCCUUAAUAAAGAUUCCCAUUUAUAUUCAUUACUGCAACCAAGUCCUGCCUCUAAUCUAUCGCAGGGGACGCUACAGAUAUAUUAUUUCUUUGUAGUCUCAAAAUGCUCAGAUGGUUUUUAACCUUAUUAAAUCUGAACCCCUUAAAUGUGCUUCUGAAGCAAAAGUUUUAGCAAUAAGCCUUCCAAAAAGUGCAAGAUUUACAAAGCAGAUUUAUGGCUGUGUGGUGAGUUAAGUAACGUUUCUCUCAGCAUAUCAUUUGCCAAAAUUAGAGGAAGGUCCCUGCUUCAGCUGAACAGGGAGCAUUAGGAAUGUGUAUUGUGCUGGUAGAUCAGGCUGUUAGUGCUCUAAGAAGCAGGACAACAACAUGUUAAUUUACCUAGAUGAUGUUCUGAUGGUUGUUGCAUUUCAGGAAAUAAUAAAACUUUGUUUGGAUUACGGAAUGCUUCAAAGUCCUCAGGAUUUCACAUUUACUGUAUGGGAAUAAAAUUGGUCAUAACAUGCCAGAGUCUCUAUCUUUGUUUUUUAAUAGAGCCAAGAAAACAAUUAUUUCAAAAGGUUAAACCACAAUCACAUGUACUGUGGCUCCAUGCAACUAUGUGAUUGUUUCUAAGUGUGCAGGUGCUAUAUUGGUGUUUACAAGUCAAGGAUCAGGCAGAGCUUUCAGAGCCUCUGUGGUACAUGGUGCAGCAUCAUGGCAGCUUACUUCACACCAAAAAAAGGCACACAGGUUCAGAAGUUGUAGGUAUUGAUGAAUCUGAAACGAAAAGACAGAUCUUCCUAGUCAGCUUAGGAUUGUUUUUCUGGUCAGAAAUUAUGUAAAUAAUGGUUAGCUGAAUGAGAAAACUCAGUGUUACUAAAAUAAUAUGCUAUCAGGUUUUUGCUAUGUUGUGUAAUAACUAAGCAGACUUUUUGGCUACAGAAAGAGGAAACAGUGCAUAGACUGCACUUUGAUUUCAGCAUUUGGUAAACAGUAUGAUAAUGCAGAUGUUUGUUCAUUUUUCAUCUACAUUUUGGGGCCACAUGUUUUCAGUCAAGAUUUGGAGACUUAUUUUCUGAGUUAACUGUUUUCUUCUAACUGUAUUCUUUAGAUUAUGAUUUUAGAGCCAGCUGAAAACUGAGGGGGACCUGCCUAAGACCAUCUCUACCCUCACAGUAGUUAAUUUUAUUGUAUGAGUAAAAGCAAAAUUCUAUGAGAGUAUAUGAGAGUAUAGGAUUAAAAGCCAAUCAAUGAAGAAAAAAAAAAUGGCCUUAGAAACACCAGUGUCAGCAUCUCAGGGGCAGAAAUUCCCCUUUUUAUAUUAUAGGCAAAAAGAGUUCUAGAGUGGAGCCUUCUCCCAGCACCUGGCCUGGGAUAGGAUGUGUAUUCUGGCAAUUUGGCUAAAUAAACAAGCUGAAAAAUCAGCAAAUCUACACUGUAAAAGCCUGUAGCCAGAUGCAACAGGAAAGCAAAUUUUUCUGUCUCUAGGCAGAUUGGUACAAAAUGCAGUUGAGGGAUAUCUUUUCCCUAGACAGAGAAAGCAAAAUUUGGAUGAGUGUUUACUCCAUCUGCCUGUUUUGGACAAUGGUGUUCAAGGUGACCAGAAAACUCUUCAAAAUAACAUACAAGUGUUCCUCUGGAGGAAUUUCUGUAAGUUUUAAGUGCAUUAGAUUCCUAUAUGGGUGGAUACUGAUUUUUUAUCAAGAAUGUGUCUCCUAACAACGUGGUGCUACUGACAACAAAUCUCAUCAGUGUCUUCCAUACACCAGUCACUGACUAUUCGAGGGAGAAGGAAUUUCCUCGAGUAACAAUGUUUUAUAGUAUGCAUCCAUUCAAAGUACAUUAUUUCUGUGGGUUUUAUAUUAAGUGGAAAUGUAUUAAAUGCAGUAUGAACCAAUUGAUCAAGUGAAUUUAUAAUAUGCAUUUAUAUGAAGUGUUCCCAGAAAUUAAUUAACAGAAAGUUUAAGGUUAGUUCUGUAUUUAUUUGAGGUUCUUUUAUGUAUCUUUAAAGUACUAGGAGUUAAAAUUUCCACUUUUGAAAUUGAAUUCUGGGCUAUAAGACUAACUUGGAAGUAGAUCUAUCUGGAGUGAAAUCUAUAUCACUUGAGGAGAAUCUUGUUCUAAAUAUGUAUUGCCUUCAAAGCAAUAGAUAUCAUCCUUUGUUUGUUUGUUGAUAACUUCUCAAAUACUUUGAAGAAAGAAGUCUCGGGGUGCAUUUGCAAACUUGGCACUUGGCAGAAGAGGAAUUGUGAAGACUCAAAAUAUUGUAGUGUCAUGUUCUUGGUCUCUUUCAGGUGAUAUCCAAAAUGCACGAGGUCUAAAACUGCAGACUGCCAGAGCAAUUAAUCAGUGGAAGCCAGGGACGAGGAUUCCUGUGUGACUUGCAGAAAAUCCAUGGAUGUAUCCAGCUGCCUUCAAGCAGCAGUAACCCCUGGGGGGAAAGGCAGGAUGCAUGUCUCCACUGGUCAUCCCUAGAGACAGCUUUAAGGUGGUCCCAGCUCCCCUCUGUUGGGGUCUGUGCUUCCCUGGAGAAGGCUGGUUGCACCUCAGGCAGGAAAACGCCCAAAGGCACAGGCUUGGCUGUGGGGAUUCCCUGCUGUGGGAGCCCUUCAGACACCAAUAUCUGUCUUCUUUCCUAUGUGGAAACUUAGGAAAGGGUUGAAAUAUAUCUGAGGGAAUUCUGCCAGCUAUUCAUGUAUCUACAUUUUCUACUCACUCAAGGAGAGCAGUGGUAACCAAUGUACUAAAAGUCUUCAAAUGCUGACAAAUACAAUUUAGCUUUGAAGGCUGCCAGCAAUUCUAUGGUAGUAAAUCCCAUUUGCAAUCAAAGGGUGAGUCAUUAGCCUUGACAUUUGAGAAAUGGAGAUUACUAUGAAUUUAUGAAAAAGGUUCCCUAAAAUGUUUCCUUAGCAACUGCUGCUGAGGAGCCUGGGGCAUCUCUCAGGUCCCCAGGCUCAGGAAAGCCAGCAGCAGUGGAGCAGAUGGUUUCCUAUCCACUUGCUGUAUGUAGUGCUAAGGGAUCACUAUCCCUAUCCACUCAAGUCUUGUCUAAGUGAGGAAAAAAUGGUGUUUUCUUGUGUUCAUUUAUCUUUACUGAGCUGACUUAAUGCUGCUGGAACUGUUGCAAUGGGCACAGCUUAUUAUACAACCCAGAGGCUUGAGUAUCCUGCACAGGGCUAUGAGCAACUUGGUCAGUUCCAAACAUGAGCCCAAGUGAAGUGAUAUGACAGCUUAUUGCCGUCAUAAAAAGCAUGCUGUUUUAUUUCAAAGGGGUUUCGUUAAAAAAAAAAAUUAGAGAAAGUUUAUAGUUUUUCAUUUAUCCUCUCUUUCUGAAAUGCUCUUAAGUCCUCUACUCAAUCUUUUACUUAUAGCCGUGAGUUUUUCUUCUAGGUCAAGAAGACAGAGUAAUGAAGACUUCCCAUCUGUAGAGAAACAACAGAAUAUUUAUUGACCUGCUGUAAAAUCGCAACCAUUGACAAUAUUAAGUAUUUUGUAACUUAGCCAGUAAAUUUAAUCUCAACACAUUUACUUUGGUUAAGCCAGAGAAAAGUACUUUUCUCUUAGUUAAGCAGGAUCCUUAGCUGGCUCAAAAAAGGUGAGAGACCUCAAGGUGAGCAGUGGGAAGGUGAGAAUGGGGAAGAAGGGGACAUGGUGUGCAGACAGACCUGGGUGCUCCUUGAAAUGGCAAAGGGGGUGGAAGGCAUUGGGGUUGUGCAGAGGGAGGAAUCUCUUGGGUGUACUACAGCAACAUCUGUGCCUUGCCUCAGUCAGGUAGGCUGUGAAACCAGAGAUAAGUCCCAAGAAAAGCUGUAUGAUUCCAAAGCCAUGGAGAAAUACCCUUAUGGCAUCUGCAUGGACCAGUGCAAAAAGUUUCUUCUGGACCUAGAGAACAAGUUUUAGUGAAGAAAUGUGCAGCAGCUCACCAGCACAUACUGUAUUUUUUUUUUCUGUUGUAUUAAAUUAAUUUCUUUAGUAAAUUAAAUUCUAAUUUUCUGUUUCCAGUAGUCAAUAUUCUAUUUGCAUGACUUCCUUUGGUGGUAACAUCUCAUGAAUUUCAUGUGUAUGUGAUUUUUUUUUCUUCAGGAUUUUUCAGCUCCAAUAAAAAACCUAACAGCUUCUAAGGAAAAGAUACUACUGCCACAAUCCAAAUAUGAGCUUAGUUCUUAGCAAUUCUGCUGCAGAAUAUUUUCAGGGGAGUGGCUGCACUUCAUGACAUUCUUACAAAAAUAUGAAGAAUAUUAAUUUUUUCCAAUGGAAAUCAAUCCUUUCUUUUCUCCUCUGUGAAACAAGACACUCACCGUGUUUCUAUUGCUCCCGUGCUCUACAUCCACUGAGAAUGGCCUGUCAUUCUGCAAACUCUCAUGUAUUUUACAGAGUCAACAUUGCUAUUCAUCUCAUGCGACUGCAGCCAAUCUUGGCUGCCAGGUGAGACGCGAUGUUGAAACAGAGAAACCAUCUCAAGGAAAUACAAGCUCUCAAAGCGUGAAUGGCUCUGCGGAUCAGAGAAGGCAUUUUGAAUUACACCUGGAAAUGAAGCGGGGAGCAGCCGAGUCCCCAGAGCACGGGUGCAGGGAUGGGGAGGAGGAGCGGUGGCAGGGCUGGCGGUGCCACCCUCGCCCAUUAGGCUCUCGCAGGUCGGGUCUGCGCACAUCGGGGAUGAUUGGGAGCAGCUGCAAGCUGAGCCCAGUGCAGCGCUCCCAAUACAUUCCAGAUGAUGAAUAUGAUGCAGGCUUACUGGAAGAAAAAUAUAUUUCUGAAGAGAAAAACAAUUACUUCUCAAGGCAAGACAAUGAAGCUGAACCGACGCUACGUGGGCAUAAAAUAGAGCAGAACUUUUGGGCAAUGGCUUUAGCUUCUAAUAAAUCACCCACCUGGAGAUACUUUUGCAGAGUGAGCUUGGAUGUAUCAGACCUCAAGUAUUUUCAGAGGUAUAUAAAGUUGAAAAAUUAGUAAUUUAAACCUUUAUUUUUCCCCAAAGGGACGGACACUUUGUUGUGUCAUAACCUCCGAUUUUCAUGUUAGCAGAAAGGUGCCCUUGCCAGUCCAAACAACACGUGGGCUGUCUCAUGGAAGUUAUGAAAAAAGGCUUGGAAACACCACUUGAUACAGUGGGUUUCACUGGCUGAAUCUUCAGAGGGGACUUGAACGAAAUUUGCAAAAACAUGUCAAAAGUUAAGUGGCGAAAAUCAGCUUAAAUGCCUAAUUUUAAUUUUGUUUGUGCUCUUUGUUGUUUCAUUGUGGAGGGAGGGAAGAAGCUGUCUUUUUUCUCCCUGUCCUUUCAUUUUGUUUGGGAGAAAAUGGAUGUUGGUGAAAAGAAGAGAGCUCUGGCAGGGACUGGAAAGAGGUUGUUUAUUCUGUUUUGUUUUCUUUAGAAAGGGGCAACUCUUCUAAAACUGGUGAUGAUCCAGUUAAAGGGGGACUCCGGGUGGGGAAGAGAAAAGAAAACUAAUAAUCAGCCUCUAAAUGACAAGUUUUCUCUUGAACAAAAGAGCAACAGGAGGCAGUGCAGGCAGGGGGUCAGUGCCCAGGGGUAACGUGACCAAAACAAUGGAUGGAGAAUGUGUGCAGCUUUUGCCACUCCAGAAGCUGCUGCCCCAGUGCCCUCACUGAGGGACUGCAAGGGUCAAACCUGAUCCAGUGCUGGGCAAGUGUGGUGCCACUUCUGGAGUCCUCCGAAGAGGAGGCAAUGACUGACUGUGGGUAAUGCAAGCAGGAAUUGAAGAAUUCCCAGGGAAUCCCCCCAGUUCUGAAUGACAGUGUGACUGAACAGCCCCAGCCAAUAAGGCAGGGUCCCUACCAGCAGUGGGGCUAAAGGCGGGGUUUAAAGUGACUUCUGUUAAAGAUGGAGACUGCUUGGCAUCAUCUGUGCUUCCCUUGCACUUGGUUAAUUGCCUGUUGGGGAAAGGCAGUGGUGCUGGAUAAACUGAAGCGAGAUGAUUUCAAACUAUUAUGAGCGUACACGCAGAAGUUCAUUCUGGUUUAGACUAAAUUGGUUUUAAUUUCAAUUCAUGUAACUUCCGUGUGGACGAGGCCUAUGGCUUGCCAUUUUGCAGCAAUGGUGAAUUUAUAGCAUAUGUGCUGCAAAUGGUCUAUCAUGCAAAUUCUCCUGGUAUUUGCUCCUAGUCCAGUUCCAGCUGUCGGUGGAGAUGGAGGAGCAGAAUAGACCACUCACACGGCCUCCCAUGUAAUGCAGAUUGGAUCCAUUGUCAGUCAGAUGGACUGGUGGUGUGGGAGCAGUGUGAAGCCAGUUCUUUCACUACAUGGUGUGUAAAGCAAUGAGGCAGACAAAAGCUGGAUUUAAAUUAGGGAAUAUUUCUGCCAAAUUUCGUUCUCUGAAGCAGAAAAAUAAAACACUUAAUGUGUCUGGCAAUGUUUAUUCUGUGCACAGGGUUUUAGCUGAUCAUAAAAGAAGAGCUAUGUGUGAACACUAUCUGGCAGCUUCAUCAUAUUCUGAGGAGAUGAGAGAGUAUGAGUCCACCAUGGUCUGAAAAAGUAUCGACUGAGAAAGUGGAAACAAUUUGGCAGGAAAACAAGAUGGCAAGAGAAAAAGAAAAAAAAAUAGGUUCUUUUCGAUUAGGUAGGAAUUACCAGUUAUAAUGACAGCAAAAUUGUAUCUGCCACAAAAGCUCCAUUUUAAAAGUCCUUGAUGUCCUCAGUGUCCUGCUCAAUGGCCAGAGGCUUCCUACUUUGCCUUCUUGCUGCUUAUUCAAAGAAAGGCAACAUCUGAAUGAUCGGAAAAUAUAUGUGCUGCUCAUGCAGUAACUGCACGUGCAUGAAAAUAAAAGAAUUCCUUGCCUUUGCGCCAUGGGUAUCUGUGCUGAUAAGGAGGCAGUAACCCUCAUUACAUGCAUAUUUGAAGACUUGGCCCUGAAUUCUACUGGUGAACUAUUUUCCAUGACUUUUCCACUGUAUCUUCUUAGAGGUUUGUGCUCCAAUCAUCCAAUACCUUGACAGAAAUAGAAGACUGUGUUAAAAAUAAUCCAAAGAAAUAAUACAAGAUCACUUUUAAUUCAAAAUUAUUGAAAGAACAAGUAUCAGCUAAUGUGAAUGAAAACAUAGUUGUGUAAUCCAAGUAAGAAGAAUGUCAAGAAUAACAACUUUGUAACUGGGUUUGGAAAAACAAACAAUUCUUUCCUUUCUUUGCAUAAUAAAUAUGAUGUGGGUAGCAAAAAAUAACAUUUUA